rnacentral:rRNA from 1 species
UAGGGAAUCUUCGGCAAUGGACGAAAGUCUGACCGAGCAACGCCGCGUGAGUGAAGAAGGUUUUCGGAUCGUAAAACUCUGUUGUUAGAGAAGAACAAGGACGUUAGUAACUGAACGUCCCCUGACGGUAUCUAACCAGAAAGCCACGGCUAACUACGUGCCAGCAGCUGCGGUAAUACGUAGGUGGCAAGCGUUGUCCGGAUUUAUUGGGCGUAAAGCGAGCGCAGGCGGUUUCUUAAGUCUGAUGUUAAAGCCCCCGGCUCAACCGGGGAGGGUCAUUGGAAACUGGGCGACUUGAGUGCAGAAGAGGAGAGUGGAAUUCCAUGUGUAGCGGUGAAAUGCGUAGAUAUAUGGAGGAACACCAGUGGCGAAGGCGGCUCUCUGGUCUGUAACUGACGCUGAGGCUCGAAAGCGUGGGGAGCAAACAGG